AUAAUAUAUAAUCUAUAUUAUAUACUGUAUGUUUUUGUGAUCUGUUGUGUGUUAUGCAAAAGUUUUGCUACUAACUACUGUUUCCAUAUUGUAGAAUUUAUCAACAUGAAUGAUAGAUUACACCACCACUAAUGUAGGGUUGCCUCUUAAAAGUCUCAGAGUUUAUCAAUAGAUAAGGCUCUAGGUCAUCUUCCAUUUUGUCAGUCAAAUUGUUUCUUUUGUGUUUGGGCAUUUAGGCCUAUACAAAGAAUAUUGUAGGUUGACAACGUCCUAAAAAAAGCACUGUGGUGUGUUGUAUAGUACAAAAUAAUUGAAUUUUUCUUUAUUUCCUCCAGACCCCAUCCACUUAAGGACUCUGGGUAUCCACUGAGCUAAGAGAUGAACAGUGUAAGUUGGUUUAAUAUUUGGUCAAGAGUUUGACAUUGUAGGCACACAGAAUAAGUCUUCCUCAGAUAUCAAAUAUCUGACUUGUGUGAUUUGAGGGGAUUUACUCCAAAAAUGCCUAAAUAUUUAAUACAAUUAACCUCUAUUGAUACUCUUUAGAUCAAAAAUCAACUUUUUCUCCUGAUGAAGAGAGUGAAGAAGACGAAAGAACAAUUAAGCCAAAAAAAAAAA